rnacentral:tRNA from 1 species
UCCCAGGUGGCUUAGUAGUAAAGAAUCUGCCUGCCAAUGCAGGAGAUGCGGGUUCCACCCCUGGCUUGGGAA